CAGAAGAACAGUAGGAUGCAGAGAUUCACAAAAAUGUGUGAGCUCCGUUCCAAUAGGUAAACGGGCUGAUGGUACGGUGAUACUUUGUGACGAAUGCUGCAAUUCACCUUUUUGUCAGGCUGGACUUUGUGGCGAUGAAAAUUACGUGCAAGAUAGAGGUCCUAUUUGUUAUAAUUGUAAUCAACAACUGGAAAGUACGGAUUGCAGUACGAUAAUUGAGUGCGCUCGCGAUCAGGU